rnacentral:rRNA from 1 species
GAUGAACGCUAGCUACAGGCUUAACACAUGCAAGUCGAGGGGCAGCAUGAAAGUAGCUUGCUACUUUUGAUGGCGACCGGCGCACGGGUGCGUAACGCGUAUCCAACUUUCCCGUUACUCUCGGAUAGCCUUCCGAAAGGGAGAUUAAUACGAGAUGGUGUUCAAAUUCCGCAUGUUAUUGAACUAAAGAUUCAUCGGUAACGGAUAGGGAUGCGUGACAUUAGAUAGUUGGGGGGGUAACGGCCCACCAAGUCUACGAUGUCUAGGGGUUCUGAGAGGAAGGUCCCCCACACUGGAACUGAGACACGGUCCAGACUCCUACGGGAGGCAGCAGUGAGGAAUAUUGGUCAAAUGGGCGCAAGCCUGAACCAGCCAAGUUAGCGUGAAGGAAGACUGCCCUAUGGGUCUUAAAACUUCUUUUGUAAGGG